CGCCGAAGGUGGGGCUGAUGACUGGGGUGAAGUCGUAACAAGGUAGCCGUACCGGAAGGUGCGGCUGGAUCACCUCCUAACAGGGAGACAAUAAAUUGAUUGUGAUGUCUAAGUUAUUUAUUCUUAGGCCGCAAUCCUGUCACCUUAAGGUCGAUCGGUACCUCAGAUUUUUGAAUUAGUUUUACAAUUCAUUCUUUGAUUUCAGUUCCUAAACUUGUCUAGGUCACACCCAACAAAGGUUUCUCCUGGGCCAUUAGCUCAGGUGGUUAGAGCGCACCCCUGAUAAGGGUGAGGUCCCUGGUUCAAGUCCAGGAUGGCCCAUUCGUUGUUGGGGGUAUAGCUCAGUUGGUAGAGCGCCUGCUUUGCAAGCAGGAUGUCAGCGGUUCGAGUCCGCUUACCUCCACUGAAAACUAUCCUGAUAACUAAAUUUCUGGAGAAAAAAAUUGUAGAUGUGGCUUAGAAUUGUCUAUUUGAAAAGAACCUAGCUUCUUGUCAUCUUUUUAUAGUUGAUAAAAUGCUGGGCUCGCAUGGAUUAUUUCCAUGAGAAUUCAGUAGAACCUUGAAAACUGCAUAGAUUAGAAAGAAUAAAGCAUCUCAUGGAUGCAUAGUUCUGUUUUAUAAUUUAGCCUUAAAACUAAAUUAUUUAAUUCUAGAAUUCAUGUUUAAUUCUUGAGUAAUAGCCGAGCACAAUUGAUUUUGUGAUUGUAUUAAAGGUCAAGCUACAAAGGGCUCA
rnacentral:misc_RNA from 1 species